CCUACGGGGGGCAGCAGUGAGGAAUAUUGGUCAAUGGCCGGAAGGCUGAACCAGCCAUGCCGCGUGAAGGUCAGUGCCCUAUGGGCGUUAAACUUCUUUUGUGCGGGAGCAAUAAUGGUCACGUGUGGCCAGACGAGAGUACCGUACGAAUAAGCAUCGGCUAACUCCGUGUCAGCAGCCGCGGUAAUACGGGGGAUGCAAGCGUUAGCCGGAUUUAUUGGGUUUAAAGGGUGCGUAGGCUGUGAGGUAAGUCAGCGGUGAAAUGCCCCCGCUCAACGGGGUGAAGUGCCAUUGAUACUGCCUGGCUGGAAUGCUGAUGCCGUGGGAGGAAUGUGUGGUGUAGCGGUGAAAUGCAUAGAUAUCACACAGAACACCGAUUGCGAAGGCAUCUCACGAAUCCGCGAUUGACGCUGAUGCACGAAAGCGUGGGUAUCAAACAGGAUUAGAUACCCCGUAGUC
rnacentral:rRNA from 1 species